rfam:Gossypium arboreum cultivar AKA8401 contig_18340_7, whole genome shotgun sequence.
UGUUAAAAAUUUCAUCUAUUUUUACUGUUAAAAACUGGCAUAGCUGACGGAAUAACCAGAUAGCUAUGCAUGACGUGCCACAUGUACUUGAUACUGACAUACAUGGACUAAUUUUUAACAGUAGAAAUGGAUAAAUUUUAAACA